UGCGUAGGCGGGUCUUUAAGUCAGGGGUGAAAUCCUGGAGCUCAACUCCAGAACUGCCUUUGAUACUGAAGAUCUUGAGUUCGGGAGAGGUGAGUGGAACUGCGAGUGUAGAGGUGAAAUUCGUAGAUAUUCGCAAGAACACCAGUGGCGAAGGCGGCCCACCUGGCCCGAUACUGACGCUGAUGCACGAAAGCGUGGGGAGCAAACA
rnacentral:rRNA from 1 species